rnacentral:rRNA from 1 species
AGGACGAACGCUGGCGGCGUGCUUAACACAUGCAAGUCGAGCGAAAAGGCCCUUCGGGGUACUCGAGCGGCGAACGGGUGAGUAACACGUGAGCAACCUGCCCUUAGCUCUGGGAUAGCUCCGGGAAACCGGAAUUAAUACCGGAUAUGACCUAGGCCGACAUCGGCCGUGGUGGAAAGUUUUUCGGCUAGGGAUGGACUCGCGGCCUAUCAGCUAGUUGGUGGGGUAAUGGCCUACCAAGGCGACGACGGGUAGCCGGCCUGAGAGGGCGACCGGCCACACUGGGACUGAGACACGGCCCAGACUCCUACGGGAGGCAGCAGUGGGGAAUCUUGCGCAAUGGGCGAAAGCCUGACGCAGCGACGCCGCGUGGGGGAUGAAGGCCUUCGGGUUGUAAACCCCUUUCAGCAGGGACGAAGCGAAAGUGACGGUACCUGCAGAAGAAGCGCCGGCUAACUACGCGCCAGCAGCCGC